rnacentral:rRNA from 1 species
AUUGAACGCUGGCGGCAGGCCUAACACAUGCAAGUCGAGCGGAUGAAGGGAGCUUGCUCCUGGAUUCAGCGGCGGACGGGUGAGUAAUGCCUAGGAAUCUGCCUGGUAGUGGGGGAUAACGUCCGGAAACGGGCGCUAAUACCGCAUACGUCCUGAGGGAGAAAGUGGGGGAUCUUCGGACCUCACGCUAUCAGAUGAGCCUAGGUCGGAUUAGCUAGUUGGUGGGGUAAAGGCCUACCAAGGCGACGAUCCGUAACUGGUCUGAGAGGAUGAUCAGUCACACUGGAACUGAGACACGGUCCAGACUCCUACGGGAGGCAGCAGUGGGGAAUAUUGGACAAUGGGCGGAAGCCUGAUCCAGCCAUGCCGCGUGUGUGAAGAAGGUCUUCGGAUUGUAAAGCACUUUAAGUUGGGAGGAAGGGCAGUAAGUUAAUACCUUGCUGUUUUGACGUUACCAACAGGAUAAGCACCGGCUAACUUCGUG